rnacentral:rRNA from 1 species
AUUUUCAGUGCAAGCCGUAUUAAGGCGAUACCGCGAAUGGCUCAAUAUAUCAGUUUUGGUUCCUUAGAUCUUACUCAGUUACUUGGAUAACUGUGGUAAUUCUAGAGCUAAUACAUGCAAUCAGAACUCUGACCAGUGAUGGGAUGAGUGCUUUUAUUAGAUCAAAACCAAUCGACGGAGGGCCUCGCGUCCGAAGUCGUUAAUUUUGAUGAAUCUGGAUAACUUUUGCAGAUCGCAUGGUCAAGUACCGGCGACGCAUCUUUCAAAUGUCUGCCUUAUCAACUUUCGAUGGUAGUUUCUGCGACUACCAUGGUUGUCACGGGUAACGGGGAAUCAGGGUUCGAUUCCGGAGAGGGAGCCUGAGAAACGGCUACCACAUCCAAGGAAGGCAGCAGGCGCGCAAAUUACCCACUCCCGGCACGGGGAGGUAGUGACGAAAAAUAACGAUACGGGACUCUUACGAGGCCUCGUAAUCGGAAUGAGUACACUUUAAAUAUUUUAACGAGGAACAAUUGGAGGGCAAGUCUGGUGCAGCAGCCGCGGUAAUUCCAGCUCCAAUAGCGUAUACUAAAAUUGUUGCGGUUAAAAAGCUCGUAGUUGCAUUUGUGCGCCGCGCUGUCGGUGCACCGCAUCCGCGGUGAUACUGACACGUUUGCGGAGCAUAUCGUCGGUGAGCCGGCGUUCUAAAAAAACGCCGGUUCAAUAUCAAAAUCCUAUCGCGGUGCUCUUCGGUGAGUGUCGAGGUGGGCCGACAAUUUUACUUUGAACAAAUUAGAGUGCUCAAAGCGGGCUAAAAAUGCUGCUUGAAUAUUUCGUGCAUGGAAUAAUAGAAUAUGAUCUCGGUUCUAUUUUGUUGGUUUUCAGAACUCCGAGGUAAUGAUUAAUAGGGAUAACUGGGGGCAUUCGUAUUGCGACGUUAGAGGUGAAAUUCUUGGAUCGUCGCAAGACGAACAUCAGCGAAAGCAUUUGCCAAAGGUGUUUUCAUCAAUCAAGAACGAAAGUUAGAGGUUCGAAGGCGAUUAGAUACCGCCCUAGUUCUAACCGUAAAUAUGUCAUCUAGCGAUCCGCCGACGUUACUACAAUGGCUCGGCGGGCAGCUUCCGGGAAACCAAAGAUUUUGGACUCCGGGGGGAGUAUGGUUGCAAAGCUGAAACUUAAAGGAAUUGACGGAAGGGCACCACCAGGAGUGGAGCCUGCGGCUUAAUUUGACUCAACACGGGAAAUCUCACCAGGCCCGGACACCGGAAGGAUUGACAGAUUAACAGCUCUUUCUUGAUUCGGUGGGUGGUGGUGCAUGGCCGUUCUUAGUUGGUGGAGCGAUUUGUCUGGUUAAUUCCGGUAACGAACGAGACUCUAGCCUGCUAAAUAGGCGUCGUUAUUUAGGUGUGCGCGGCCUCGUGUCGCGCAACUCACUGACGACGUAUUAAAAUUCUUCUUAGAGGGACCGGCGUCUUCGAGCCGCACGAGAUUGAGCAAUAACAGGUCUGUGAUGCCCUAGAUUGUCCUGGGCGCACG